rnacentral:rRNA from 1 species
GAGUAGGAUCAACAGGGAUUGCCCUAGUAACGGCGAGUGAAGCGGCAACAGCUCAAAUUUGAAAUCUGGCGUCUUUGGCGUCCGAGUUGUAAUUUGCAGAGGGCGCUUUGGCAUUGGCAGCGGUCCAAGUUCCUUGGAACAGGACGUCACAGAGGGUGAGAAUCCCGUACGUGGUCGCUAGCCUUUACCGUGUAAAGCCCCUUCGACGAGUCGAGUUGUUUGGGAAUGCAGCUCUAAAUGGGAGGUAAAUUUCUUCUAAAGCUAAAUACUGGCCAGAGACCGAUAGCGCACAAGUAGAGUGAUCGAAAGAUGAAAAGCACUUUGGAAAGAGAGUUAAAAAGCACGUGAAAUUGUUGAAAGGGAAGCGCUUGCAGCCAGACUUGCCUGUAGUUGCUCAUCCGGGUUUUUACCCGGUGCACUCUUCUACGGGCAGGCCAGCAUCAGUUUGGGCGGUUGGAUAAAGGUCUCUGUCAUGUACCUCCUCUCGGGGAGAACUUAUAGGGGAGACGACAUGCAACCAGCCCGGACUGAGGUCCGCGCAUCUGCUAGGAUGCUGGCGUAAUGGCUGUAAGCGGCCCGUCUUGAAACACGGACCAAGGAGUCUAACAUCUAUGCGAGUGUUUGGGUGUCAAGCCCGAGCGCGUAAUGAAAGUGAACGGAGGUGGGAACCUUUCGGGGUGCACCAUCGACCGAUCCUGAUGUCUUCGGAUGGAUUUGAGUAAGAGCAUAGCUGUUGGGACCCGAAAGAUGGUGAACUAUGCUUGAAUAGGGUGAAGCCAGAGGAAACUCUGGUGGAGGCUCGCAGCGGUUCUGACGUGCAAAUCGAUCGUCAAAUUUGGGCAUAGGGGCGAAAGACUAAUCGAACUAUCUAGUAGCUGGUUCUGCAGAAUUCCCCCCCC